rnacentral:ncRNA from 1 species
CGAGCUAUGUCAAAAAGGUAGUUUCUUCUAGAGUCCAGUCCUGUGACUCUUCGUCAAAACUCCUAUUUUGCCUUUGCUCG